rnacentral:lncRNA from 1 species
UGGUUUUAAAGAAAAUAUAGUAUUGGCUGGGGAGUCAAGAUGGCCGAACAGGAACAGCUCCGGUCUACAGCUCCCAGCGUGAGCGACGCAGAAGAUGGGUGCUUUCUGCAUUUCCAUCUGAGGAGAAUUCAGGAGAAAAAGAUAAACACUGGACUCCACAGGACUCUAUCUAUCUAUCUAUCUAUCUAUCUAUCUAUCUAUCUAUCUAUCUACUUAUUUACCUACAUAUCCAUCUGUCUAUACCUAUGCCUAUAUUAAAAUCUGUAUCUAUCCUCUAAAUUUAAAAUACUUUAAUUAAAUCAUUGCAUGAAUUUAAUUUAUUCCACAGGAAUCUUUAGGAUCGAUCUAUGCUAUCAAUUUCACUCAGACAUUGAAUUUCAGAAUUUUUUUAAAAUUACUUUUUUAAAUUAUUUUACAUGUCUGUCUGUCUUUUAUUUUGUAUGGGUAACUUGACAAAAUAAGUCUUAUUUAAUAAAUUAAAAAUAUAAAAAAUCAAAAUAUUAUUACAUUAUUAUUUACUUUUUUUUUGGCAACAGCAUAUAUGUUAGAAAAAAUAUGACUAUUGAGUCGAGGAAUCUGAGAUUAAAUCCAAAGUUUUCCUUGUAACGUG